GUGCUCGUGUUAGCAGCACAUAUACUGAGGUUGAAACGGUACAGUGGAAAUUUGCAUGGCCCUUGCGUCAGAAUGACAUAGAUUUAUAAAGUUCAUAUUUUU
ensembl:snRNA U6 U6 spliceosomal RNA